CAACUUGAGAGUUUGAUCCUGGCUCAGAGCGAACGCUGGCGGCACGCUUAACACAUGCAAGUCGAACGGAGGCCCGGAGCUUGCUCCGGAUCCCUUAGUGGCGGACGGGUGAGUAACGCGUGGGAAUCUACCUUGCGAUGGGGAAUAACGUUUGGAAACGAACGCUAAUACCGCAUACGCCCUUUGGGGGAAAGGCUUCGGCCGUCGUUAGAGGAUCCCGCGUUCGAUUAGCUAGUUGGUGAGGUAAUGGCUCACCAAGGCAACGAUCGAUAGCUGGUCUGAGAGGAUGAUCAGCCACACUGGAACUGAGACACGGUCCAGACUCCUACGGGAGGCAGCAGUGGGGAAUAUUGGACAAUGGGGGAAACCCUGAUCCAGCGAUGCCGCGUGAGUGAAGAAGGCCUUAGGGUUGUAAAACUCUUUCACCCGUGAAGAUGAUGACGGUAGCGGGAGAAGAAGCUCCGGCUAACUCCGUGCCAGCAGCCGCGGUAAUACGGAGGGGGCUAGCGUUGCUCGGAAUUACUGGGCGUAAAGCGCACGCAGGUGGUUUGUUAAGUGGGAUGUGAAAGCCCCGGGCUUAACCUGGGAACUGCAUUCCGAACUGACGAACUAGAGUACGAUAGAGGGGGGUAGAAUUCAGAGUGUAGCGGUGAAAUG
rnacentral:rRNA from 1 species